rnacentral:pre_miRNA from 1 species
AUAGUACUCCCUCCAUCCGAAAAUACUUGUCCUCGAAAUGGUUGUAUAUAGACUGAUUUUAGUUAUAGAUACAUUCAUUUUAUCCAUUUUGAGGACAAGUAUUUCCAAACGAAGGCAGUAUACU